AAACGAAGCAAAUAAGAAGUAAAAGCAUGUUUCGGAUGCAAGGAGCGAAUAGUAAUUGGGAUAAUUGCGUCGCCAUAGAAUAUCGGUAAUAAAAGCAAGGUGUUGAAACGGGUCACUCGGUUGACUCGAGCCAGGUGAAUGUCGAGAGUCCCGGAUGAAGAUCGAGCAUCGAGCA